CUUCCUCCAAAUUUCUGACUCCGGUCUUUCGCCUCUGCUCGCUGUGGGAGAUGGACGUGUCUGCGAUGGCUGAUUCACCUCUAGAAGGUCUGACUUUUGAGUCACCUGGUUGACUAGGAUGACUUUGUUGCUUCCACGAGUGAACCUGUAACGGGAAGAGAAAUGAACAUGUAGCUCCUGGCUGGAAUGGAGAGUCCUACACAAAAUUACAGCAGGUGCUGAAAGUGGAAAAUGUGGAUUGUGAAAAUGACAGUAGGCCUGCCACGUCACAUGUAGCUAGGUGCUGCUGUCUUAACCCUGAUGGACGCAUCUAUGCUGUGGCGUUGUGCAUUUGAUACAGAUUGUAUAAAUUUGUUUAGCCUUUGACUUUGUACAGCAUUUGUCUGUAAAAUGGAGCAGGUCUGUCAGUUCCAACUGGUUUGCCAAAUUGUUUCUGUACAAGUGCAGAUUAAUGUAUAGGCUGUGUUCUAACAGUCCAAAUGCCUUUUCUCAGGUACAUGUAAGCAAGUUAAAACUUAUUUUUUUUAAAUAAAAGUUCGGCCUUUA